AAUAGCGGAGAACCUCUGCCCACAAAGCUACGCGUCGUGUUCACGUUUAGCUCGGCUACGACGGGAUUCGCAUUGUCGACGGAGGCGAUGAUCACAAAUUCCUACUUCCAGACUCGUCGCUACGAUUCAGUGCUAAGAUUUUGGUAUUGCCUAAAACUGUAGAGUUGUGCAUCUCCUUACUCAUCUCUGGUACAUGUGUAAUUAAUGUUCGUGUCCGUGCUUAGGGUUCCAGAGCCCCGUAAUUUUCCAGGCAAACGUGAAGUCCGCAUGAAACAAGUAGAAUGUAUUAAUAUCAAUGAAGUUCUGUGUCUACUUACCUACAAUUAGUAUUCUUUACUUUUCUCUACUACUACACUUACCUGUUGUAUUAUUCAAUGCGGUAAAUUGAUCAGGUUCAUAAUAAAGAAAAGGACACUCGUGUAGUUUCUCGUGUUUACAUAAUAAAGAUUAAAUUUAUACAAUCCAUUAGAAUUUAAUAUAAAUAGUAUUACGAUUACUGCAAGUUACAAGAUAGAAUUACAAUAUUCUUACACGUGUGAUAAAAAAUAUUCGAUUUUCUUCAGGCACUGUCUAUAUCAUAACCUACUAUAUAUACGUGUAUUAUUUACAUUCAUUUAAACGGAGUCAUCUGAAAGGCGCGAAAGUUACGUCGAUGUGAACGAAUAUGCUCAAGAAAAAAAAAUAUAUCAAACCGUAAAAAUCUGAUUAUGACCAUUCUGUCGAGUGUUUAAUCUAAUUCGGAAAAAAAAAAU